AUUGAACGCUGGCGGCAUGCCUUACACAUGCAAGUCGAACGGCAGCACGGGUGCUUGCACCUGGUGGCGAGUGGCGAACGGGUGAGUAAUAUAUCGGAACGUACCUUAUUGUGGGGGAUAACGCAGCGAAAGCUGUGCUAAUACCGCAUAAUCCCUAAGGGGGAAAGCGGGGGACCGUAAGGCCUCGCGCAAUUAGAGCGGCCGAUACCUGAUUAGCUAGUUGGUGAGGUAAAGGCUCACCAAGGCAACGAUCAGUAGCUGGUCUGAGAGGACGAGCAGCCACACUGGGACUGAGACACGGCCCAGGCUCCUACGGGAGGCAGCAGUGGGGAAUUUUGGACAAUGGGGGCAACCCUGAUCCAGCAAUGCCGCGUGAGUGAAGAAGGCCUUCGGGUUGUAAAGCUCUUUUGUCAGGGAAGAAACAGCAGCUCUAACACAGUUUGCGAAUGACGGUACCUGAAGAAUAGGCACCGGCUAACUACGUGCCAGCAGCCGCCGCGG
rnacentral:rRNA from 1 species